GUCCAGUUCCUUCACUCGUGUUUGCAACUUCUCAAUAUACUCGUACAAUUUUGUCAGGAUUGACGCAAUCUCGUCCUACAAAACCAAAAAUAUUCUUUGGCGGUCACAUAUCUCAAUCAGCAAUCCCUGCCUAUUUUAUACUUCUCACCAAGGUCUAUGGUAACAGGACACAAAACGCCUUCGCACAACUUCGAAGUCCAAUGGCAGAAACUUACUAGGACCCAACCACCUUAACACUGCCUACUUUUUCCACUCUCGAGGGCUUAACGAAACGCACCAAUUCCAAUCGAAAGUACUCACAGUGCAAGAAUUCAGUAAGACUUCUUGGGAGAGCCGAAAAUGCUCAUGAAUCCUAAGCCUUAAUCUUAACUCCGGCAAUGCUGCACUGUCAACAAACACGCCGGAACUGCGCGAUUUGGGAAUCUCUAAGGUUCUGUGUACAAAACCGCACUCCUCCUCGUAGUUCUCUACAUCCGUCAAGUCUGAAGAGUAGUCUAGGUCCGCGUGGUUAGAGACACCGACAGCAUCGCUGCACUCCACUGGCUUGCCCAUGCUCACACUCAAUGCAAGUCGCACUUUGCACCAACCUUUCCACUUCAAACAACUCGACACACCGAGCGUCACCUCACACCACCAGGCACACCACCAUGCAAUCACCCUCAACGGCGUUCCUUGCCGCAACCGUCCAGAAUUUCCUACUUACAAUUUAACACUCUGGAGCGCCACAAAUCAAGCCUCAACCCACGAAGAUGAUGAGAAACAAUGCUGUCCCAAUGAAGAGCGGAGGCAGACCGAGUAAUGGCGACACAUGCGGCCGUGAAAGUGAUGGUGGUGGCUGGGCGAGCAAGUUGACAAGUUGGUCCGGGUGUCGUGCUAUUACAUGCAUGAACCUGAGCAGGAAGGAAGGGAGCGAGAGAGCGAGCGCAAUGAAGCAGGCAGUACCUUCGUGCGAGUUUUAAACCGUGAAUGCCCGGUGCAAUGUCGUCGCAAAAUACUGGGCGAGUGCACCAAGACCACCUCCACCGUCGGCGUCGUGGUUGUGCUAAUGUGUGCUCGUGUGAAGGUGCUGCUGCUGCUCCUGGUGCUUCUGCUGCGAUGGCCUGCCUGCAUGUUAGGAGAUGCGCUCCAACCUUAGAUGCUCCGCUUUC
rnacentral:lncRNA from 1 species